GCACUCAAGCCUGACCAUCCUUGCCGCCUGUAUGAAGAAGCCUAUUGAUUGUACUUCCAAAGGUGAGGAAGGUGAGAGCUAAGGCUGCAUGCUGACGUUAGCAGACAGAAAGGAAGCACCGGCUAACUUAUGCCAGCAGCCUCAGGUAAUACGGAGGGUUGCUAGCUGUUAAUCGGAAUUACUGGGCGUAAAGCGCAUGCAGGUGGUUUGUUAAGUCAGAUGUGAAAGCCCGGGGCUCAACCUCGGAAUUGCAUUUGAAACUGGCAGACUAGAGUACUGUAGAGGGGGGUAGAAUUUCAGGUGUAGCGGUGAAAUGCGUAGAGAUCUGAAGGAAUACCGGUGGCGAAGGCGGCCCCCUGGACAGAUACUGACACUCAGAUGCGAAAGCGUGGGGAGCAAACAGGAUUAGAUACCCUGGUAGUCCACGCCGUAAACGAUGUCUACUUGGAGGUUGUGGCCUUGAUCCGUGGCUUUCGGAGCUAACGCGUUAAGUAGACCGCCUGGGGAGUACGGUCGCAAGAUUAAAACUCAAAUCAAUUACGGGGGCCCGCCCACGUGAAGCAAUGGGUUAAUGUACCACAAGACCUACCCACUUCUCACAUGAGUCCAAGAGAUGUUCUCGGCUAAGAGGAGCGC
rnacentral:rRNA from 1 species